AUUGAACGCUGGCGGUAGGCCUAACACAUGCAAGUCGAACGCGAAAGUCCUUCGGGAUGAGUAGAGUGGCGGACGGGUGAGUAACGCGUAGGAAUCUAUCCUGUAGUGGGGGAGUAACGUUUCGAAAGGAACGCUAAUACCGCAUACGCCCAACGGGGGAAAGGCGGGGGAGUCUUCGGACCUCGUGCUAUAGGAGGAGCCUGCGUCGGAUUAGCUAGUUGGUGAGGUAAAGGCUCACCAAGGCGACGAUCCGUAGCUGGUCUGAGAGGAUGAUCAGCCACACCGGAACUGAGACACGGUCCGGACUCCUACGGGAGGCAGCAGUGGGGAAUAUUGCGCAAUGGGCGAAAGCCUGACGCAGCCAUACCGCGUGAGUGAUGAAGGCCUUCGGGUUGUAAAGACUCUGUCGGGAGGGAAGAAGGCGCAAGCCUGACGGUACCUCGCAAGAAAGCACCGGCUAACUCUGUGCCAGCAG
rnacentral:rRNA from 1 species